GACGAACGCUGGCGGCGUGCUUAACACAUGCAAGUCGAACGGAAAGGCCCUGCUUCUGUGGGGUGCUCGAGUGGCGAACGGGUGAGUCACACGCGAGUAACCUGCCCUUGACUUUGGGAUCACUUCAGGAAACUGGGGCUCAUCCCGGAUAGGAGCUCCUGCUGCAUGGUGGGGGUUGGAAAGUUUCGGCUGUGGGGGAUGGACUCGCGGCUUAUCAGCUUGUUGGUGGGGUAGUGGCUUACCAAGGCUUUGACGGGUAGCCGGCCUGAGAGGGUGACCGGCCACAUUGGGACUGAGAUACGGCCCAGACUCCUACGGGAGGCAGCAGUGGGGAAUAUUGCACGAUGGGCGGAAGCCUGAUGCAGCAACGCCGCGCGCGGGAUGACGACCUUCGGGUUGUAAGCCGGUUUCGCCUCUAACGAAGCGUGAGUGACGGUAAUGGGUAAAUAAGCACCGGCUAACUACGUG
rnacentral:rRNA from 1 species